rnacentral:snoRNA from 1 species
AGACCAUGAUGAGGACAAUGCCUAAGCAAUUCUUUAUAUCUUUCCUCGGCUUCAUACAAUGAUUUAGAAUCUAGUUGCAUGAAUGAUGUAAUGUCAUUCCUCAUAUU